rnacentral:tRNA from 1 species
AAUAAAAUGGCUGAGAUUAAGCGAUAAAUUGUAAAUUUAUUUACGAGAAAUAAUUCUCUUUUAUUA